AUACGUAGGUGGCAAGCGUUGUCCGGCAUUAUUGGGCGUAAAGCGCGCGCAGGUGGUUCCUUAAGUCUGAUGUGAAAGCCCCCGGCUCAACCGGGGAGGGUCAUUGGAAACUGGGGAACUUGAGUGCAGCAGAGGAUAGUGGAAUUCCAAGUGUAGCGGUGAAAUGCGUAGAGAUUUGGAGGAACACCAGUGGCGACGGCGACUGUCUGUUCUGUAACUGACACUGAGGCGCGAAAGCGUGGGGAGCAAACAGGAUUAGAUACCCUGGUAGUCCACGCCGUAAACGAUGAGUGCUAAGUGUUGGGGGGUUUCCGCCCCUCAGUGCUGCAGCUAACGCAUUAAGCACUCCGCCUGGGGAGUACGGUCGCAAGACUGAAACUCAAAUGAAUUGACGGGG
rnacentral:rRNA from 1 species